GGAUUAGAUACCCUGGUAGUCCACGCCCUAAACGGUGGGCACUAGGUGUAGGGCUUGUAUAAGUUCUGUGCCGAAGGGAAACCAAUAAGUGCCCCGCCUGGGGAGUACGAUCGCAAGGUUGAAACUCAAAGGAAUUGACGGGGGCCCGCACAAGCGGUGGAGCAUGUGGUUUAAUUCGACGCAACGCGAAGAACCUUACCUGGACUUGACAUAUAGGUAGUAGUAACCUGAAAAGGAAACGACUUAGAUUAUUCUAAGAGCCUGUACAGGUGCUGCAUGGCUGUCGUCAGCUCGUGUCG
rnacentral:rRNA from 1 species